CACGGGAGCAAUCCUGGUGGCGAGUGGCGAACGGGUGAGUAAUACAUCGGAACGUGCCCAGUAGUGGGGGAUAGCCCGGCGAAAGCCGGAUUAAUACCGCAUACGACCUACGGGUGAAAGCGGGGGAUCGCAAGACCUCGCGCUAUUGGAGCGGCCGAUGUCAGAUUAGCUUGUUGGUGGGGUAAAAGCCCACCAAGGCGACGAUCUGUAGCUGGUCUGAGAGGACGACCAGCCACACUGGGACUGAGACACGGCCCAGACUCCUACGGGAGGCAGCAGUGGGGAAUUUUGGACAAUGGGCGCAAGCCUGAUCCAGCCAUGCCGCGUGCGGGAAGAAGGCCUUCGGG
rnacentral:rRNA from 1 species